GGCCACAGUGGCUGCCAGUGUGGGACAGAGCGAGGGGGCAAGCCCAGAGUGUUCAGCCAUGGCUGAGCUGCACACCAGCACCAUGGUAGCCAUCCCACCAAUAUGCCACAUGGCCUGGCCUGCCCGGCAAGCUGCUCAGUGGCCCUGCGCAUUGUGUACCGUCUCAAGGGCUGCAGGAAGGCCAAGUUACUGGCUGUAUGAGAGUAGUACCCCAGGAGCUCCUCAAAGACCUAGUGCCAGGACGAGUGUCCCUGGUGAUGGAACGUUCAGAGGAGCUCAACAACGACCUAAACCCCUUUACUCCUCUUACAAGGUAUCCGGAUUCCUGAUUAUGCCUUUAUGCAAGACUUGGCCAAGAUGUAUGAGCAUCCUCUUGCUCUCACUAGUGCCAACCUCAGCUCCCAGGACAGUUCUCUGAAUGCCAUGGAGUUAUAAGACCUCUGGCCUCAGUUGUCCUUGGUCAUUGAUGGGGGACAAGCUAGGGAUAGCCAGAUCCCUGAGUGUUACCUUGGCUCAACUGUGGUUGACUUAUCUGUGCAUAGAAAGUUUGGCAUCAUUCGUCCAGGCUGUGUCCUGGAAAGUACUACAGCCUUUCUUCAACAGAGGUAUGGGUUGCACCCCUCAUGUGCAUCCUACUUGUGA
rnacentral:lncRNA from 1 species